rnacentral:tRNA from 1 species
AGGGAUUUAGCUUAGCAGCAUAAGCAUCUGCCUUGCAAGCACAAGGUCGUAAAUUCAAUCCCUG